rnacentral:rRNA from 1 species
UACCAGCACCCCGAGUGGUCGGGACGAUUAUUGGGCCUAAAGCAUCCGUAGCCGGCCUUACAAGUCCUCCGUUAAAUCCAGCUGCUCAACAGAUGGGCUGCGGAGGAUACUAUAAGACUAGGAGGCAGGAGAGGCAAGCGGUACUCAGUGGGUAGGGGUAAAAUCCGUUGAUCCAUUGAAGACCACCAGUGGCGAAGGCGGCUUGCCAGAAUGCGCUCGACGGUGAGGGAUGAAAGCUGGGGGAGCAAACCGG